UCCCUGGUAGCUCAGCUGUAAAGAAUCUGCCUGCGAUGCAGGAAACCUAGGUUCCAUUCCUGGGUUGGGAA
rnacentral:tRNA from 1 species